CUCGUAGGCGGUUUGUCGCGUCUGCUGUGAAAACCCGAGGCUCAACCUCGGGCCUGCAGUGGGUACGGGCAGACUAGAGUGCGGUAGGGGAGAUUGGAAUUCCUGGUGUAGCGGUGGAAUGCGCAGAUAUCAGGAGGAACACCGAUGGCGAAGGCAGAUCUCUGGGCCGUUACUGACGCUGAGGAGCGAAAGGGUGGGGAGCAAACAGGCUUAGAUACCCUGGUAGUCCACCCGUAAACGUUGGGAACUAGUUGUGGGGGCCUUUCCACGGUCUCCGUGACGCAGCUAACGCAUUAAGUUCCCCGCCUGGGGAGUACGGCCGCAAGGCUAAAACUCAAAGGAAUUGACGGGGACCCGCACAAGCGGCGGAGCAUGCGGAUUAAUUCGAUGCAACGCGAAGAACCUUACCAAGGCUUGACAUACACCGGAAACGUCUGAAACAGUCGCCCCUUUUUGGUCGGUGUACAGGUGGUGCAUGGUUGUCGUCAGCUCGUGUCGUGAGAUGUUGGGUUAAGUCCCGCAACGAGCGCAACCCUCGUUCUAUGUUGCCAGCACGUUAUGGUGGGAACUCAUGGGAUACUGCCGGGUCAACUCGGAGGAAGGUGGGGAUGACGUCAAAUCAUCAUGCCCCUUAUGUCUUGGGCUUCACGCAUGCUACAAUGGCCGGUACAAAGGGCUGCAAUACCGUGAGGUGGAGCGAAUCCCAAAAAGCCGGUCCCAGUUCGGAUUGAGGUCUGCAACUCGACCUCAUGAAGUCGGAGUCGCUAGUAAUCGCAGAUCAGCAACGCUGCGGUGAAUACGUUCCCGGGUCUUGUACACACCGCCCGUCAAGUCAUGAAAGUCGGUAACACCUGAAGCCGGUGGCCUAACCCCUU
rnacentral:rRNA from 1 species